GAACAGCCAGGCUAGCUUCCUGAUGAUAUGUGAAGAGAACAAAGGGAGAUGGCAAAUGGGUGGGGCCCCUUCCUCAACUUGCAGAUAGGAGAAGGACAAAAGCCACAGGAAAAGUAGAAUACAAACAUUAGCCACUGUGGGAACAAGAUUCUGGACCAGAUGGACCAUUGGUGUGAUCUAGCAGGGUCUCCUUAAGUUCUUAAAAGGGCUGUCCAUGAACAAGGACAGAGCCUCCUCAAGCAAGCAACAACAUGAUGCUUUUGGAAAGUG